GGGGGGUGGGAGCCUCCCGCCGUUACUUUGCAAUGUUGCAGCUGGCGUCCCCCCCUUCCUGCUCCCCACCGAGGCAGGCCGGCCAGCGUCCUGCGGCAGAGCAUCGGGCGGCGUGCAGGUCGGGGCGGCAGUGUGGCGGGGCCAGCCUUCCUGACGGUGGCGACGCAGCGGCACUGGCGGCGUGUGGCGGCGUGGGUCGUCCCGGCAACCGUUGCCAUGGUGACGAGUCGGAGAUUUGAUACCGCCACGCUGAAUGGAUUAUUGAUGCAACGCCGCUGGUUCCGGCUGCAACCACCAGAUGCCGCGCCAAUCGCCGCCGUCUUAAUUAUAAGGAGAAUGUAGGCAAUUAACGCAGUAAGGAGAUUAGCGCAUUGUACCAGUAAUUAGUCGGCGUCGGGGCGGCGCGGGAGCAUCAAGGUGCCACUCUGGCUGGAGGCGCGGACGGGGGCGCCACCUCGCGCUUCUCUCUACUGACGGAGGAAGGGAGGGCCUUCACACCACGCCCAGGGGCCCGCGUUUGGAGUACGUGCAUCAGACGACGACCAGAUGACGAGGUUCACGGGAGAUGGAGACGGAUAUAAGCAACACGGCAAGGCGUUCAUGACGUGUAGCGAGGGCGAAUGGGAGAAGCUACAAACAACAAAAGAAACCGGAAGACUACAACACGAACAACAGUGGUUGAAAAUAACACGAAGCAUUUUGGCAGUUGUCCCUUAAUGCCAGACAGGAAUACUGUCAUCUCUGGCCACAGUGAGCCCAAGUAACGCCCAAACUCAACCAGCAAGACGAGGCUUAACGCAAAUCCCAACCAGAAAAGUAAAAAAAAAAAAAAAAAAAAAAA
rnacentral:misc_RNA from 1 species